UUGCGUCGCAUGUUUGAAUCGGUGUUUUUAUUUUGCAUAAAUUUAGUAUAAUUUGACAGAGUUACACGUUUCGAAAUAUUUCCGAAGGAACGUUUACAUGGUAUAAAUUGUGCAGCUUUACGAUCUGACAACUAAACCGAAUAGAAUUUUAUAAUAUUAGAAAUUUAUCGAACGUAUCGGUGUACUUCUCUCAAGAGAGUAAAGUAUAGGUGCUCAACGAUAGUCCAUUGACGUAUAUGCAAUAGCGUAUUUAAGAAUAAAGGAGGGGUAAAAUAAAAGAAAGAAAAAGAGAAAGGACGAAGACAGAGAAUAUAACCAAGACAGCAAGAACUAUUGAAGUGAUCGAGUGCUUAAACCAACUUCUUUCCAACUCAGGUAAAAUAAUGUCGAAGUAUUGUGCAGGUCGUCUUUGAAACUUGCUACAUGAAAUCUCUUGGUUAUUCCCUCGUCGAAUCAUCGUACUCGAGAAGUAUCGAUAAGAUCGGAUACAAAGUGGUAAAGGUAGAAAACAGAAACUUUUACGACUUCUUCAAUCUAUCUCGUGUUACGUGAAAAAGCAACGAAGUAUUAUAGUUCAUUCUGAAGUAUCGUGAACCCAAGUCGCCAUUUUCUUUAAUACACGAAUGACCAAAAUUGCGCACGAGACUUUCCGAAAUCGAUAUAACGAACGUUCCAUUUCAAAUGGAAUCGAAUCUCGAAGGGACUGUUCUUGACAGAAACUAUAAAUUAAUAUUACUAUAUUCGAUAAAUACGAUACGUAUGCUUGAGAAUUCAAGAAAAGAAUAAGAAAAUAAAACAAGAGAGAAGAAAAAGAGAGAGAUUUGAAUUUCUUCUUGGUCUUGGUCAUUAUUUAUAACUUAUUUUGCUUCGAAGCUGGCACAAGGCUCGCGUGGGAAAUCGUGCAGAAAACUCGAAGAAAGAUGCCUCGGUUGCUGAACGGCCGAAUAAGAGAAGCGUAAAGAGAGACCGAGCCAGGCGGAAAUCGUUGGGCAAUAUUUUUAUGAAAAAUUGUUAUGUCGGUCAAAGAGUUGGGAAACGCAUUCGGCUCUCUUGCGGGUCAACGCUAGGUGAAUUCGAUACGAACGUGUGUAAUCGAAAACUAUCCGAAUAUCACGUAGACCUAGUGUUUUUCUUUUUUGUUCGCGAAUGUCCCUGGUUUGUUUCAAAAAAUCACACGUGUAGAUACGUACGUACGUACGUGUGUUCGGAUAGACUUUUUCUCUUUUCAAGCCCGAAGCUUCGAUCAAUAAUUAUUUUGUCAUAGACACUAUUAAUUUCUAUUUCCUUUCGAACGUUGACGUUAAGACAUAGUUUUCGUGAUUAUUGUUAUUAUUAUUUUGUAUCUCCAAUAAUCUUGACAAAUUUGUUUUAAUUGGGAUAUUAGGUAAAUUGUUAUAACAGGAGUAUUGUAGGUCUAACACUAGAGAACAUUUGUUCUAACAAUAGAAAGUAUCCGUACAAGAUUGUUAUCAUUUAUUAUUAUUAGAACACAAGCAAUGUCUUUAUUUUUAUCUUUAUACCGCUUCUUCAACUUCUUUCUUUUCUUUUUUACAUUACUCUAGAGGAAGCGGAACGCAUGCAUAUAAAAAAUCUUUCGCCAUUCGUACAAUCCGAGUAGCUACACGUUGCAUUAAUGAUCGAGCUAUGAGUAGAAAAAUUUUAGCUUUGUAAUCGCGAGGAUUGCAGAGAACAUAGCGGUAUCGCGACAUGGAUGAAAGUGACUUGGUGAGUUCGCCGCACGAGAGAGCACUUCGCUUUAUUACACUGGAUUCGAGCAUGCGUUAUCUAUGAAUUUUUCUUUUUCAGUUUUCUUUUUUCUUUCCUUUUUUCUUUUUUAUAGUAGAUUCGCUGAAAGCCGCAUUCGGUGCUUGUUGUCCCGGUUCGUAUUGUCCUAGUUAUGAAUCUUCCUCGCGAAAUAAUAUUUUCUAUGUCUCUUUUUGUUCUUUUCCAAUAUCAACGAUCGUGUUUUAAAGGUUUUUAUCUCGCGCAGUUUAACAAUCUUAAGCUAUCCUUUGGAAACCCAAGCGAUAGCUUUCUCAUUAGGAUAUCCGAUAAACGUUCGAAGGCGUAGAGCUGCAGGCGUAUUCAUAGUACGUAUGUAUUCACACAAAAGAAUAUUGAACGAGCUUCCAGUCGUCGAUAAGAUUUUAAGCGAGCACAUUUGACAAGCUUAUUCGGUAUUGCAACUGAUAAAGACGAACAAAUGCAGCUGCACAUAUCUGAUAAAAAUGCAUGCUUCUAAACCGAUAGUUCGUCGCUUUGUAUAAACUGUUCUUUGAUGUUUAAUCGCUCGUUGUAAUCAGAUAUUUUUUUCCUAGAGAUUAUAAAGGGCACAUUUCGAAUUUAGGUAUUCUGCUGAUAUAAUUUAAGAUGGUAGAAAAAUUUUCGGAUCAUUGAACAAACCAUCAUUAUAUUUUAGGUCGGCUAAAAUAAACAAUAAGGUUCAUGCAUAGUCACGUAUCCUUGUCGAUUGACGGAACGAUGCAGUAAAGUCUACGUGAUCGAGAAAGACACCGUUGGUUGAUGAACCUUGUGUACCAGAUAGAUUCCUCUAUUAAUCCAUUCCAAAAGGGAUAAAGUGAUGAGAAAUAAGGACAUGUUUACGGAGUUAGAAGAAGAGUGACUGAUACCGAAAGAGAAAGAGAGAGAAUAUCGGAAAGGGGUAAAAAGAGAAGAAAGAGAAGGAGGAGGAGAAUGAAGGAUAAGCCCUGUUAAGCCUAUGAAUGUUCGUCGAGCGCCGAUAACAGAGAAUUACUGUGGAAGGGCUGUUUACACCGAGUGUUACUGUAGUUGCGCGAGCUAAUUGUUUUAACCGGCCGUACUUAACUGUACGGCUCGAUAUAUCCUGGAUUUAUUUAGCCACGCAUGAGAAUAUCUCUGCACAAUGACACUUCAGACAAAGCAAUGCCGACUUGUCGCUCUCUUUCACCAUGUCACUGACUCUUUUCUUCUUUGUUCUCACGAACAUCAACAUUCUGUUGAAAAGUAGCGAAACUCGAGUAUAAUAGCUACUGGAUUACCUUUAAACCAUAUUUUUUAUUCCAGUUAUACGCUACUGUUCGUAGUUACCAAUAGUUCGUAUUACUGACUAUUCUAUAAAAUUAUUUUUAGAAACAAUUCUCUCGUAAAGUUUAACAAAUUAUCAUAAUAUUUUCUUCUAUAAAAAUCUCGAAAGGAAGAGUAUGAAAUAAGAGAUGAAUAUUUACGAUGUUUGCUCGGAGAAAAGUAUUAUUACCGGUGAUAGUUUGGCUUGUCUUAUACAUAAUAAUGUCCAAUUGAAACGAAUCUUAGUAAACUUGUUUGCCCGCAGAAAUGCUUGCAGGAAAUUAAAAAGAAACUUUAGUCAUUGGUUGAUAAAUAUCAUGAAAAAAGUUUAUUUGUUUAUUUCGUUAUUUGUUUCAACAAUUUUUUUUUUUUAAGUAGGAUAAAGAUGGAAUAUGCAACCCGCAAAAAUAAAAUAUUACAAAUAAUUAUAGAAUACCUAUAAACACAUAUGUAUCUUCUAAUCCUAUUUUUAUUAAUUUAAAAUGGAUAUUACAGGAUUGAUUAGAUACUUUAUUAAACCGGAAUCUGUGACAAACGACUUACCGUUCGAACUUAUUUUCCAGGAAUAAAAAGGACGAAGAGGAAGAAGAAAGGAAAGGAAAGAUCGAUGUCUCGAUUCGUCUUUAACCGAGCCGAACAGAGUCGAAGGAUGAGACGAGACAGGGAGGAAGAUCGAAGAAAUGGUUGGAAGUUCGAAUUUAACGGGAGAAAUUUUUCUACCGGAGUUGGAGGAAUGGAAAUGCUGCGAGGAGGACUGUUUCUAGCGGAAAUUCAUUCUUGGACGAUUCUGAAGGAUGACGCAGAUACGAAUAUCGAGAUCGAAUUGAUGAUAUCGAACGGAACUUAAUUCAAUGACUUAUAAAUCUUUCGAUACAGACGGAUAGGAUCGAAUCUCACGAUACGAUAUAUUAAAUACAUAGAUUUGAAAAGAAAGAACAAAACAAGGAUAAUGAAAAAAAUUCGACUUACCGAUCGCAUUAACCGGUUCGUCCAGAUACAGAUGAACUUUCCCAGAAAUCUCGUGACCACUGUAAUACACUUUCUGAGGAUGAUCCAAUACGAGAUCGAUGCGUUGCAAACCGAUUCUGUUUGUUAUCUCGAUUGAUUCGAUGCAUAUAAGUAUAAUAUAUAUACAUAUAUAUGUAUUUGUACCUCUUGAACGAAUUCUCGGAAAUCGGAGAUGUAGGUUCAGAUUCUUGUCCCUCCAUUAUCGCGCGUGUCCGGAAAAUCUUUUAGAAAGGAUUCAAGGAAGACAACAAUUACGAGAGAACGUUUACGGAAACACUGAAUACAGCUCGUUAUGUAAGCGGAUAUGCCUUUUUCUUCGAUCUCAUGAUCCAACACAAUUUAAUUUCAUGAGAUCAAAGAGUUAAAAAGAAAUGGAAGAAAAAUGGUAUGAACGUCACUGUCGUCGGCAAUGCGAGUAUCUCGAUGACUUACAAGUUAAGGAUCUCACGCGAAGAAUGUUUGUUGAUAAGAUUCCAAAAUCGCCAGACCAGACCUGGAGAAAAGCGACGCAUGCGUCAGGAGGUUCGCCAAUAUCAUGGCGACAUUCUGUCGCGCAGACUACCGAAGAACAUAACCUUUGCUCUUCUCCGUUGGCACGGAUAAUCGAAGAACUCCCAGUUGGCCUGGGUCGUUCUUCGUUAGUACAGGUGAAAUUCACCGUGCUCGCUCGAUUUACGCGCAGUGGAUUUCCGUUCGUUGUUACGAGUACCGAACAGAUCGUAGAUGUACGGCUAGUAAAUGGAGUUAGUUUCGAAAAUACCUGGAUGCUUCACGCACUAACGAGUUCCUGAUGUUCCACGUGCCGCAAUCUCGGACCGCAGCUUCGUUAGACGGAGAUAAAGUGGUGCGGCUGUGAAAGCGAUCGCCUGGAAAUUGCACCUAAAGACUACGUACUGUGGCCGUAAGAAUCCGUCGGAAAUCGUUUCUCCUUGUUAACUUUGACACGUAAAAUAAUCGUCGGAGGAUAUACCAUUGCGUUCGGAGUUAACGAUUCUUCCAAUUCUUUGAAAGUGUUCCUUUAUCAACAAUACUCAUUUCGCUAUUCGUUCGUUCUUUUAUUCGGUUGUAUUAUCAUUGUCUACUACACGAGAAGCUUCUUGAAAAUUUUAAAUAUUGACAAUGUAUAUUACAGAGUUUUCAUUUUUAUUUUCAUUUUCGUGCUUAAGUCAUAUUCGGAAGUAUUUAUUUUAUGAGGGUCAUUUUCACUUUUUCCCAUAAAAUUUUUUUUAUAUCUGUGAAAGGAUCAUUAAGUAAUACCAAAUAUUUUGACAUUCAUUGUUAUCCUAUUUCAAGAUCCUUAUUACGAGAAUUUCCCAUCUAAUAGUUCUAGAGAGUUCUUCGAAAAGUACGAUUAUUUACGAAAAAAUAUAUAUUAUUCGUUACUCGUGUUUUUUUUUUAAUGAUAAUUUGUAAUUAUUGUUAAAUUAUUUAAAUAAUUAUUUGCGAUUAUUUAAAUCAUUAGUAAAUUUAUAAUAAUUACAACUUUUCGACGAUUGUAAUUCUGUCUUAUAGCCAUUAUUAUUAUACUAUUUAUUAGGGAUUAAGCACACUCCUAAUGAUCGACUAACAUCGUAGAACCAUUCUGACAGAGCUAUUAGUACUUGCUGUCUUACGACGUAGAUUUAGUUUAAAACUCAUUAAAUUGUAUUGUAUGUGUAUGAAGCGAAAAUUGAGUUCAAAUACCAAUACAAGCGCGUGUAUUGAAAUUAUAAAUUUUAUGACUAUUUUUGGUGUGUUAAGCGAGUACGUUCGAUGCAAAGUUUGCAGAGGAAAUAUGGAAUUGAAUAUAGUCGGACAUGUGGGAUUAGCCUUUCAAAUUAAAUUGAAGUGCCAAAAGUGUGAAUCCUGCCUAUAUAGAUUUGUGCCUCAAAAUAAGUCACCAUAGUUACGACCUGAAUACGCGUAUUACAUUUUCACUGAGAAUGUUAGGUGUCGGUUUCACAGGACUUGUAAGGUUUUGCGGUUUAAUGGAUCCUUCACGUUUUCUUACUCGUAAGCCCUAUGACAGAGUAGUGGAAUCUAUUCAGCAAAUAGCUUUAGCGAUAGUUCAACUAUCAAUGAUGAAAAUGGUAUCGAAUUAACUGGUGACAUAGAUAGGAUCAUAAUUAAUGAAGAUUGGAAGUCAGUUGAUCGUUAAAAUCGGAUAACAUAAGAAUUUCAUUCUUUUCACGAUAUUGUUGUUGUUUUUGGAAACUUCAUAGGAAAAAUGCUUAUAUAAUGUCGAUAUAAAAUUUUCAUAUUGUUGUGUAUGCAAGAUAUAGGAAUCUCGUAGUGGUACAUCGGAAGAUUUAGAAUAGAUGGAAAAUCACCAAGAAAGCGUUGAUAAAAUGGAAGUUGAUGCCACGCGUGAAAUAAUCCGAUUAGAAAUAAAAUACAAUAUCUAGUACAAGCACUCACUAUGUUGGCGACGGUAAUGCGAAAACGUUUUCAACUCUAUAAAAUAUACAAUCUUUAGAUUUUCAUAGGGUUAGAUUUUUAUUUGGUCUUGUGAAAAAUAGUUACAAAAGAAUUUUUCCGUGAUGUCGAAAUCGUAGAGGUUGGUAUAUAUAUUGUAGUUGUAAUGUUUAACGAUACCUGGAUUCAUUUGUUGGACAUAAUGAGCGGAUUAGGAUGGCAAAUGGCCUCUCGUAUUUUCGAAAUGUUUAGGUAGCAAAACCGUAUUCGCUUGGCAGGCGCGGAUAAAAAGAAGCGCAGAAGUACAAAGCAGGCUUCACAAGAAAAAAAAGACGUUUUGCGGCUGCUACUGAAGCUGAACGUACUUUGAAGACUAUACUCUACAGUAUAAGAAAUCUUUGAGUCGCAUAAGUACGACUUUUCUAACAUAAAUAUUCUAACAAAACGUAACUUUUUCAUUCAUUUGACAUGAAAUUAUUCAAGUUUCAAAACUUUAACUGAUGCUUCAUUAAUUUUAACAAUUCUUUCCACCAUCAGAUAUGAUUCCUGAAAUAGUAUAAUUUUAUCCUGUAAUAACAUUUUUUUCAUAUAAGUAAAAAUAACGAAGAUAUAUGUAGUGGUAAUAGUUAUUAGGCCAUACAAUAUAUGUAGGAGUAACUAGGUGUCUCGGUUAUUGAACUUUUGGUAUUAUUUAUUUUCUUAUCUAAUGGUUUUAGUAAAUUUGCUAUUGUUCUAACCACAUAUUCAUGAAACAUAAUGGAGUGGCAUCAGUUAAAGUUGUUGUUCCAUCAACUGCCAUGUAUACAAAAUGGUUAGCCUAUGUUCGGACGUUGUAAAGGUUAGAGGAAGGAAUGGUCUCUUUCAAGCCAUGCAAUUUAUCGUUUGAGUUCUUUAGUCUGUUCUGCAAAGGAGAACGGAAUUUUUCCUACGUGACAGAACGCUCAGGAUACGCGUCGAGAUUUAUAUAGUUGGAUUUUAAGAUGAACGAUGAAGAUAAUACAACAAGGUUGGUAACUUUGCUAACGGCUUUUGAUGUCUUUUAGCGAUUAUAUUCAUAAAUUGAAAAAAAGGGAGAGAGACGGAGAGAGAGAGAGAGAGAGAGAGAGGAAAGAAAGGACAAACACUUAAGAAACAUUAGACAAAUAUAAAAAGUAUGAAAAAGAAAUAUAGAUUUUACUAAUUUUAUUUUCUGUUACAAUACAAUUUUUGUGAUAUAAUAUUGUCUAAUCCCGAAGUUGUAUAUUUUCGAUUAUUCAGGUAUAAGGGUAAAUCCAACAAUUAUAGUAAUGGACAAAAAUGUUUUUUCGGACCUAUUUAACAUCGCUUUCAAACUUAAAGAAAAUAUUAUGGGAUUAAAUCCAAGAUUAACUGAAAGGUAUAUAAUAUUGACCAAUAUAUUCGUAUACCUGUAUUUGUCUGUCCCUUCUUGCAUCUUUCUUGUUUAUUCUUGGUUGUUAUAAAUUUAAAACGAAGUUUAUGGGAGGCCAGGAAAUAUAUUAUUGAUUAUUAUCAGAAGAGAGUUUUGAAGAAGAGUUCGGAAAUUUAUACACAUUCUUACAGAAUUUACAGGCGUUAUUUCGCAUUUUCUGAUUAGUCAUCUGCAAUAAAUAACAACAAUGAUUGUGUUUCGAAUUAUUUUAUUUUAUACUAUAUAAUAAAAAGAAUAUUUUUGGUCACAGGUACUGUGUGGGUAGAGAAAUGCGAAAUACUCGACAUGCCAACGUUAAAGUUGGAGAAAUGUUAUACCUAACGUUUCAGAGCAAUUGGUAAACGGAACAGGGGGUAUAAGAGGGUUGGUAGAGCUCGAAGUUAAGUAGCGCUCGUUUAGGUCUACAGGCUCUCGCAGCACUAGCAAACGAUGGAACCUAUCAGAGUUUGCGGUAUCAUACUCCCGUUAGUGCUUCUCUUUGCGUCCUUAAGGAAACCGCAAAAAACUCGGCCAAGGAAGGUCCAAAAGGACCCUCCGUUGUCCUUCCAGGAAACGAGUUUUCCUAAGAGUAAAAGAGAAAAAAUAUAAAAUGAGUCGUUAUAAACUUAUGGAGGCAUUUUCACAUUUUACCAGCAUAUUUUUCUCUCCCCGAAAUUCUCAGAUAUUUGUGUGACAAUACAAAAAUGCUAUUGUUUUGAUGAUGAAAAGCUUCUACAUGCAAUACGUUAUUAUAUAAUACGAGAGACAUUCGUAUUCAUAUUUUGAAAGUUCCAAUCGAUACCAACGGAUUAUUGGAAAAUAUUAUUUUACUUUUUAUAGGUAUGAAAUUUCUACUGCAAUUCUUUUUUUUAUUUUUUU